UCCGUGCUUGGUGCAAGGAGCAGAGGGGGAGAGAUGCCUUGGUUCGCUGCAAGGACCAAGGAGAGAGAUGCUGCUACUGAUGGCAGCCAGAUGGAUUUUCUUUUAGGGGGAGAGAGGGAGAUGUGGUGAUGAUGGAGAUGAUGAGGCUGCGGCUUGAGUGUGGUUGGUGAUGAGGAAGUGUCCGGGGGAGAGGCCGUCGUGCCUGAGGUGAGAAUGGUUGAGGCCUGACCAUGGGAGAGGCCGUCGUGCCUGAGGAGAAGAUGGCUGGGGCAGGAGUUGCCCGGAGAGGCCGUCGUGCCUGUGGAGAAGAUGGAAGAGGUCAGUGGCCGAAGAGGCCGUCGUGCCUGUGGAGAAGACGGGCUGAGGACAUUGAGGCGAGUGUGGAUGGUUCUACGGAACCUGUGUAGUGUGGCAGCCGGGUUGUUGAGGAGGUGCAUGGUGCUCAGUUGGCCAUCACAAGUUGGAGGUGGUGAGAAGAUGAUGGAGAGGGCAAUGGCUCUCAUGUAUCGUAGUUGGUUAAGUUUUCUGUUCAUUAGAGUGGUCGUAGUUUGAGUUUAUGUAGUUGUUGCAAGAUGGUCAUGGGUGUUUACCCAUGAUCAUCUUGAGGGGGAGUGUUGGUACAUAUGGGAGGCCCAUGGUGGCCCAGGCCCAGUACUGUUUAUGUAACCCUAAUGUUGUGGUAUAUAUAUAUGUGUGUGUGGUGGUCCUGUGUGAACCAACCUGCAGAUCGACCAAAACCAAGACUGAAUCCAUUCCCUCUCGUGUUACAACAUAUAAUAUCUAGAUUACAAAAUGGCAUUGCAACAUAUCAUUAUUAACUUGUUAAUUUCAUCAAAAUUCCUUUCCAUGAAUAACAGCAAAAAUACUGUUAGUGUUUUGUUAAACAAACAUGAAAAUUGUGAGAUAUUUCGUAUGAUUUCCACUUUUACAGAUCAGCAAACAGUAUAUAAUAUCAAAAUGAGUAAAACAUAAAAAAAUGUGUAUAGUUGACUCCGAAGUGAAGAAUUUCUUUCCCUUAUGAAGAGCAACACAGAAUGGUAACCAGUUGGGAUCUAAAGACAAAUCACAACAAGAUUUAAAAUAUUAUUAGCUAGCACGAGUAACAGAAAGGAAGGGCAAGAUAAUGCAAAGACUCACUUCAAACAUAACCUAAUAU
rnacentral:lncRNA from 1 species